rnacentral:rRNA from 1 species
AUUGAACGCUGGCGGCAGGCCUAACACAUGCAAGUCGAACGAGUGGCGGACGGGUGAGUAAUGUCUGGGAAACUGCCUGAUGGAGGGGGAUAACUACUGGAAACGGUAGCUAAUACCGCAUACCAUCAGAUGUGCCCAGAUGGGUUUAGUGUGUUGGUGGGGUAACGGCUCCCCAAGCAGACGAUCCCUAGCUGGUCUGAGAGGAUGACCAGCCACACUGGGACUGAGACACGGCCCAGACUCCUACGGGAGGCAGCAGUGGGGAAUAUUGGACAAUGGGCGAAAGCCUGAUGCAGCCAUGCCGCGUGUAUGAUGAAGGCCUUCGGGUUGUAAAGUACUUUCAGCAGGGAGGCGUUACCCGCAGAAUAAGCACCGGCUAACUCCGUGCCAGCAGCCGCGGUAAUAC